rnacentral:misc_RNA from 1 species
GGAUCGUGCAGUGCAUCCGGCGGCUCCGCUCGGCGCUAGAGCUAUACGACCAGCCCGGUCGCGUUUAGUCCGAAACCGCCUCAUGAAGUCUCAACACUAGAAUUUAGUCUUCUCCUUUUGAGUUGAUACCUAAGUGAAUUUAUUGUGAUAUUUAGUGUUAGGUGCCAAAUAAGUUAUUAGAAUAAUGGACGACGAUCAACAGUUCUGCCUACGUUGGAACAAUCAUCAAUCUACAUUAGUAUCGGUUUUCGACUCCCUACUGGAACAUGAAAAAUUGGUUGAUUGUACAUUGGCGGCUGAAGGCAAAUUAUUAAAGGCACACAAAGUUGUCUUGUCAGCAUGUAGUCCUUAUUUCGAGACUUUAUUGUCCCGGCAUUACGAUAAACAUCCCAUACUCAUCCUGAAAGAUGUUAAAUUCCAAGAACUGAAAGCUAUGAUGGAUUACAUGUACCGGGGUGAGGUGAACAUAUCCCAAGAUCAGUUGGGAGCACUAUUGAAAGCAGCAGAAUCCUUACAAAUCAAAGGGUUGAGCGACAAUAAGAGAGACGAGCCAGUUAAUAAAAGGACAGCUCCAGCAACCGCGCCUCCGAAAAGCCCUCAAAUGCAGGCUCAAAUCCCUAAAGUGCAAGGACUGACAAUAGAACAGCGGAAUCAACGGGAUGAUAACAGAGAAGGCUCAAUGUCUCCAAGUCCUCGGAAGAGAAAAAGAAUGCGUCGCAAGAGUGAGGAGAUGGACAAUCACCACGAUGCCUCCAACUCCUCCGACGCCCACAGCCUGCCCUCAAACAUUCCUUCAGCGCCUACUCAACUACCUGCUAAUAUUAAGAUGAACUCUGACGUGCCUGAUACAAUUGAAACGAAGCAAGAAAUGAUAUCUAGACACAAAGACGACACUGGCUCUCAACCCGCACAAGUUCCUAUGAUGAAAGAAAAAUUAGAAACUCAUUCUGAAUUAAUGUUGGAGCCAAAGUCAGAGUACGUUGAGGAAAUGAACGAGGACAGCAUCGAGGACCUUACAUUAGAUGAUGACGACUUGAGCAAUAUGGAACAAAUGGAUGAUGGUGCAGGGCCGAGCCAUGGAGGCGAGGGAUCAUCGCAACAAGGAUUUGGACAUUGGCAGAUGGGUGGUAACCAGUCGCAGGACGAAGUUUUCCUGGCGGCACAAGAAGCCGUUGGCGCACAUAGAGACUCACAAGAACACGACGAUUCAACUACCGCCCCUGAAACCGAAAGCACCGGUGAUAAUUCGAGGGUCAAUGAAGCUGAGGAACCGAUUGCAGGCCAUUCGCGCCAGCUCUGCAACCUGAACCCUCACGAUGAGGAGAUGGAGGAUAUUUUGGAUCUGUCUGGCAUCGAUGAUGGCGAGGAGAUGGACGAAGGCGAAAUGUUCGAUAUCAGCAACAUUCACAGUCUAAUCGGACAUGAGGAGCAUAGCCAAGAUAUGCUCUUGGACGGUGACAUUUUCUGCAAUAUUUGCAACACCGGGUUCCGGCAUAUGUCGUCAUUGAGGUACCACAAAAAACACCGGGUGUGUCUGAAGCCCCGCCGAGACGAAAUGGAGCCGAAGGUCCAUCAGUGCGAAAAGUGCGAGAAAGUGUUCGCCACUGGCUCGGGGUACAAAUACCAUGUGAGGCGAAGCGUAUGCGAACAGGAGGAAGAAAAAGAGGAACCGCGGGUUCUUCAAUGCCCGCAAUGCAGCAAAGUGUUUGCGACAAAUACUGGCUUGAAUUAUCACGUGAGAAGGAAAGUGUGCGAACAAGUGGAGGAGGAAAAAGAGGAGGAAAUCAUCCAGUGCUCUAACUGUGACACGGUGUUUCGUCACAAAACCUCCCUACACUAUCACGUCAGCCACAAGGUGUGCCUCAAGCCGAAAAAGGACGAAAUGGAACCGAAAGUACUCAAAUGCGAACAGUGCGAGAAAAUCUUCUCCACCACUACUGCUCUCACCUACCAUGUGAAGCACAAUGUGUGCGCCCCCAAGGAGCCGAAAGAACCCAAAGUAGAGGAGGAAAGAGGGUGCCCGUGGUGCAGCGCCGUUUUUAAGCACUACAACUCACUGCGCUACCAUCUCACUCACAAGGUGAUUGCGAUCUGUUCCAGAGCCGGAACCCAAAGUUUUGCAGUGCGAAAAAUGCGAGAAGGUAUUCACUAGCAACUCAUCGCUGGAGUACCACAUGAAGCGCAAGGUUUGCGAACAGCAAAAACCCACAGUUCCAGGUCCGCCAUUCAUUUGCGAUAUAUGCAGCACAUGUUUUGAGCUGCGCCAGACUUGGUAUGCUCACAUCCAAAGGCAGGCUUGCAAAAAGUACCCUGAACGGUACAUGCAGCCUGGUGACUUGGAAGUUAGUGUGAAAAUCGAGCCUGAGUAGGCUAGUUUCUAUCUAGUGUGUGAGCUCACGCGUCCUAGCGUCUGCAAAUUUUACAUUUAGGAUAUUAUACAUAAUGGACAUAGAUUUUACUGCAGUUUUAGCCUAGUUUACUUGAUCCUGGCAGCGUUGUUCAAUGACACUGUGUUAGUGCCAUUGGCAAAGCCGCAAUAUUUAUCCUUUAUUGUUAAUGUGAGGCAACUAACGCCCACCUUUACCUUAACUAUCCAAUUACGCAAUUUAGAACUUAGGGGGUGUAGAGGUACAAUAAAGCAUAUUAAA